UAUCUCUGGCUUCUGGUCAAUGAAAAAAAAUCUUUCGUCUUUUACUAAAGAUUUCCGUGGCCAGGAGCACACAAUGAGUCUCUAGACUAAUUUUUAAAAAAAACUUNUU
rnacentral:snRNA from 1 species